AUAAUAAUAAUAAUAAUAAUGCCAAUCCUCACCCACUAAGUUGGUUUCGGGUUGUAAUUAGCAGAUCUCUGGAACCAUACUGCCUUAACCAAGCCAAUUUUCCUGCUGUCCUGCUAUUACCCUAGGGCUACUGGAAUCGUGUUUUGAGGUGCUGCCUCAGAUUGUGCAAUGCAGUGAAGUGGAAAUUUUAAAAUGUUCAUCCUAUUCGUUCUGUCAUCUGACGUCUAAGCAGGCUAAAGACUUCUCCAACAUCCCUGCAGCCCACCCCUCUAAUCGACACCACCCCAAACACAAGUACCAGUUCAAAGUACAGUCCUCAGUCUCACCCAGGACUUUCUGUGUUUUGUUGCUUAGAUUUUAUUGCUGAUAUUGUUGUUUUUUCUUUCUUUCUUUUUCUCUAAUAUAAUUUUCCAGAGUUGAUUAGGGAAGCAGAGAACAGUAGCCUAAAUUUGACUGUAAUUUUGGCAGCCACAGGUGAAAAUCUGCCUCAUUCACCCUACACUGUUAAAAUCCAAGCCUGGGUACUACACCUGCUGAGAUGAGCAUGACCCCACAGUUGAAACAAGAUUCAUAAGAUAUCCGGUGGAGGAAGUGUAUUCACUGAAGUUUGACAGCCUGAAAGCAGUGAUUUCACACUGGGAAAAACUGAAACCCCAGGAGACUGGGAAACCCCUGUGGACACUGGGAAAAGGAGAUAAUGGUGAAUGGCAGGAGAAAACAGAAAGCAGCAUUGAAAUGGAGUGACCUGAGGGAAAAGCUUGGAGGAAUAAUUCUCUCCGUGCCAUGUCACCCACCCCAGUUGAACAUGGGAGGAAAGGAGCAGCACUAUCUGUUUGGGAAAGCUCUUUAGCAGUUCUAAAGAAAUGCCCCUCUUUUCUUCAACCAGACCACUCUGGCUUCCUCCUCAUCCUUCCGUCCCCUCCUCAUCCUUCCGUCCCCUCCUCAUCCUUCCUCCUCUCCUCCUCUCUCUCCUCCCCGCUCCCUCCCACGACAAUGUCCUGAAGGUGGUUUGUGAUAUCUAAGACCUUCUCCCCGACAGGGCAACCAUUGGCUAAGUAGUAGCUUGCUGAACUAAUCAAAGCUCAGGGGUCUCGUUCGUCAUUGUCCUGGGAGGGGUAUGUAUGGGGAGACCAGGCAGCCUGGAAUAGACAAUUGAGAGACGCUGGCGAAGAUGACCAGGAAAUGACAAGCCUCCAGCCCAGUUUUGGAACAAUUACCUGCCAUCACCAAAGUGGCGAGGAAGAGGAAAGCCCCCUCUCAACCUAGAUCUAGAAGCCCUAUCAAGAUAAAUGAACCACCUGGGCUCCUCCCUUUCUUGACCCUGACUCUUCUCUCCCAAGACUCCUGCCCUGUCCUCACCUAGCACAACCCUCACCUCAGCCCAUGCCUUUCUCAUGAAGCCCCUGUUCCCACCCCUCCUCCAUCCUCUUUCCCCAAACCAGUGCCCUUCUGAGAUCUCCCUGUUGUUCCAGAUUCCCAAGACAACUAGGAAGGGAAAAGGAACCCUUCAAGGGAGUUCCAGGAAAAAGUCUCUCCCAAAAAGACCACUGCUUCAGGAAAACCUGAGGAAGGGAGUGGACCAACAGUAUCCUGCCAUUGUGACCAGCUGAAUGAAGAACUCCAUCAAAAUGAGCCAUAGCAGGACCAAAACAGUGAGGAGACCUCCACCUUCUUCAGUGUCUCCCUGAGCAGUCAGUAAUUUCAGGGCAAGCUGAGAGGUCUCCAGAGGUCUAACCCCAGAUAAAUAGCCAACAGGGUCUAGAGUACAUUUUACACCCCACGGGGUGUGCCCCUUGGUGAUCAAAAUAAAAUAAACCUGUUGUAAAAUGA